rnacentral:rRNA from 1 species
UACAGAGACUGCAAGCGUUAUUCGGAUUCACUGGGCGUAAAGGGUGCGCAGGCGGCCGUGUGUGUGAGGCGUGAAAGCCCGGGGCUUAACCCCGGAAUUGCACCUCAAACUACAUGGCUAGAGCAUUGGAGAGGGUAGCAGAAUUCAUGGUGUAGCAGUGAAAUGCGUAGAUAUCAUGGAGGAAUACCAGAGGCGAAGGCGGCUACCUGGACAAUUGCUGACGCUCAGGCACGAAAGCGUGGGGAGCAAAAGGG